AGCAGCCGCGGUAAUUCCAGCUCCAAUAGCGUAUAUUAAAGUUGUUGCAGUUAAAAAGCUCGUAGUUGAAUUUCGGGAUUGGCGCAUCGGUCGUGCCUCACGGGGUAUGAACUGGUGCAGUCAAUUUCUCACCUUCUGGAGAACCGCGAUGUCCUUAAUUGGAUGCCGCGGGGAACCAGGACCUUUACUUUGAAAAAUUAGAGUGUUUAAAGCAGGCAUUUUUGCUUGAAUACAUUAGCAUGGAAUAAUAAAAUAGGACGGCAUGGUUCUAUUUUGUUGGUUUCUAGGACCACCGUAAUGAUUAAUAGGGAUAGUUGGGGGCAUUAGUAUUCAAUUGUCAGAGGUGAAAUUCUUGGAUUUAUUGAAGACUAACUACUGCGAAAGCAUUUGCCAAGGAUGUUUUCAUUAAUCAAGAACGAAAGUUAGGGGAUCGAAGACGAUCAGAUACCGUCGUAGUCUUAACCAUAAACUAUGCCGACUAGGAAUCAGACGAUGUUAAUUUUUAAUGA
rnacentral:rRNA from 1 species